UCAUUAAUCAUAAUCAAAUACAUAGUCACAAUCCAUUUGUUACAACACAAUCCAGUCACUAAUAUUAACACUAGAAUCACAUAAGACUAAGUGGCCAAAACAUAUGCAAACAAAGACUCCAUAUUGACUGGACUAUAACACUAGAAUCAUAAAAGACUAAAUGGCCAAAACAUAUAGACCAAGACUCCAUGCCAGGACAUGAGGCAAC
rnacentral:lncRNA from 1 species